UACGGAGGGUGCGAGCGUUGUCCGGAAUCAUUGGGCGUAAAGGGCGCGUAGGUGGCCCGGUCAGUUCGUGGUGAAAGCGCGGGGCUCAACUCCGCGUCGGCCAUGAAUACUGCUGGGCUGGAGCACUGUAGAGGCAGGCGGAAUUCCGGGUGUAGCGGUGGAAUGCGUAGAGAUCCGGAAGAACACCGGUGGCGAAGGCAGCCCCCUGGGAUAACACUGACGCUCAUGCACGAAA
rnacentral:rRNA from 1 species